UGAAUACGAGACGCUAAGGCGUCGAAGUAGUGUAUGUCAUACUUCCAAGAAAAGCUUGCACUGUCAUAGAUAAAAAACGCCUGUACCAUAACCGACACAGGUGGGUAGGUAGAGUAUACUAAGGGGCGCGAGAUAACUCUCUCUAAGGAACUCGGCAAAAUAACUCCGUAACUUCGGGAGAAGGAGUGCCUUAUUCGUAAGGUUGCAAUAACAAGAUCCAAGCAACUGUUUAUCAAAAACACAGGUCUCCGCUAAGUCGUAAGACGAUGUAUGGGGGCUGACGCCUGCCCAGUGCCAGAAGGUUAAAGAAGUUGGUUAGCAAUUGCGAAGCUGAUAACUGAAGCCCUGGUGAACGGCGGCCGUAACAAUAACGGUCCUAAGGUAGCGAAAUUCCUUGUCGGGUAAGUUCCGACCCGCACGAAAGGCGUAAUGAUUUGGAUACUGUCUCGGAGAGGGGCUCGGUGAAAUAGACUUGUCUGUGAAGAUGCGGACUACCUGCACCAGGACAGAAAGACCCUAUGAAGCUUUACUGUAACUUGAAAUUGAAAUUGGACUUUAUUCGCGCAGUAUAGGUGGGAGGCGUUGAUUAUAAUCUUGUGGGAUUAUUGGAGCCAUCAGUGAGAUACCACUCUUGUAAUGUUAGAUUUCUAACUUUGAAUCAUUAUCUGGUCAAAGAACAGUUUCAGGGGCAGUUUGACUGGGGCGGUCGCCUCCUAAACGGUAACGGAGGCGUACAAAGGUUUCCUCUGAACGGUUAGAAAUCGUAUCUAGAGUGUAAAGGCAUAAGGAAGCUUGACUGUGAGACCUACAAGUCGAGCAGGGACGAAAGUCGGUCUUAGUGAUCUGACGGUACUGAGUGGAAAGGCCGUCACUCAACGGAUAAAAGUUACUCUAGGGAUAACAGGCUGAUCUCCCCCAAGAGUUCACAUCGACGGGGAGGUUUGGCACCUCGAUGUCGGCUCAUCGCAUCCUGGGGCGGUAGUACGUCCCAAGGGUUGGGCUGUUCGCCCAUGAAAGCGGUACGCGAGCUGGGUUCAGAACGUCGUGAGACAGCUCGGUCCAUAUCCGGUGUAGGCGUUAGAAUAUUGAGAGGAGCCUUCUUUAGUACGAGAGGACCGAGAAGGACAUACCUCUGGUGUACCAGUUAUCGUGCCAACGGUAAACGCUGGGUAGCUAUGUAUGGAGUGGAUAACCGCUGAAAGCAUCUAAGUGGGAAGCCCACCUCAAGAUAAGUAUUCCC
rnacentral:rRNA from 1 species